rnacentral:rRNA from 1 species
UACGGAGGAUGCAAGCGUUAUCCGGAUUUAUUGGGUUUAAAGGGUGCGUAGGCGGCUUGGUAAGCGGGAGGUGAAAUGCCGGCGCUCAACGUCGGAAGUGCCUCCCGAACUGUCGGGCUUGAAUAGUACUGCCGUGGGAGGAAUGUGUGGUGUAGCGGUGAAAUGCUUAGAGAUCACACAGAACACCGAUUGCGAAGGCAUCUCACGAAGUACCGAUUGACGCUGAGGCACGAAAGCGUGGGGAUCAAAC